rnacentral:rRNA from 1 species
CAAUAGCGUAUAUUUAAGUUGUUGCAGUUAAAAAGCUCGUAGUUGGAUUUCGGAUGGGAUUUGCCGGUCCGUCGUUACGAUGUGCACUGGCCAGUCCUAUCUUGUUGUCGGGGACUAGCUCCUUGGAUUCACUUCCUGGGACUAGGAGCUGACGAGGUUACUUUGAGUAAAUUAGAGUGUUCAAAGCAAGCCUACGCUCUGAAUACAUUAGCAUGGAAUAACACGAUAGGACUCUGGCUUAUCUUGUUGGUCUGUGAGACCAGAGUAAUGAUUAAGAGGGACAGUCGGGGACAUUCGUAUUUCAUUGUCAGAGGUGAAAUUCUUGGAUUUAUGAAAGACAAACUUCUGCGAAAGCAUUUGUCAAGGAUGUUUUCAUUAA